rnacentral:misc_RNA from 1 species
GGGAAUUUCUCUUUGUUUGCCAUUGCAUUGAUGAAUCUGUUGCACACUUAUUUCUAUUUUGCUAUUACUUUUGGAGGGUGUGGAAUUGGGUUUUUAAAUGGUGGGGAAUUUCUCUUUGUUUGCCAAAUUCUGUUGCUUACUUAUUUGUUGAAUUGAAGAAUUUUGCUUCAAGGCAAUUUCAAUCCAAGGCAUGGAUGUGCUUAUUUUAU